rnacentral:rRNA from 1 species
CCUUCGGGGCGCCGCGGAUUCAUUUCUUAGCAAUGUGCGAAAGCACGACUAGGUUAAUCCGAGUGGUUCCUGCUAAAGGAACCUUUUGUCAGUCGUAAAACCACAGACGAAUAAGGGGUGGGCAAGUCUGGUGUCAGCCGCCGCGGUAAUACCAGCACCUCGAGUGGUCAGGAGGUUUAUUGGGCCUAAAGCAUCCGUAGCCGGCUUUGCAAGUCUCCGGUUAAAUCCAGCUGCUUAACAGAUGGGCUGCCGGAGAUACUACAAAGCUAGGGAGCGGGAGAGGUAGACGGUAUUCUGUGGGUAGGGGUAAAAUCCACUGAUCCAUAGAGGACCACCAGUGGCGAAGGCGGUCUACCAGAACGCGUUCGACGGUAAGGGAUGAAAGCUGGGGGAGCAAACCGGAUUAGAUACCCGGGUAGUCCCAGCUGUAAACGAUGCAAACUCGGUGAUGCAUUGGCUUAUGGCCAAUGCAGUGCCGCAGGGAAGCCGUUAAGUUUGCCGCCUGGGAAGUACGGACGCAAGUCUGAAACUUAAAGGAAUUGGCGGGGGAGCAC